rnacentral:rRNA from 1 species
UACAGAGGUGGCAAGCGUUGUUCGGAAUUACUGGGCGUAAAGGGCGCGUAGGCGGUCUUGUAAGUCUCGUGUGAAAUCCCUCGGCUUAACUGAGGAACUGCACGGGAUACUGCUUGACUUGAGUUCGGGAGAGGGAAGCGGAAUUCCGGGUGUAGCGGUGAAAUGCGUAGAUAUCCGGAGGAAUACCGAUGGCGAAGGCAGGUCUCUGGGCUGACACUGACGCUCAUGCACGAAAGCGUGGGGAGCAAACAGG